GGGGCCGUAGUUCAGCUGGUUAGAACGCCGGCCUGUCACGCCGGAGGUCGCGAGUUCGAUCCUCGUCGGCCCCGCCA
rnacentral:tRNA from 1 species